rnacentral:rRNA from 1 species
GGAGGCUUUGAAGUGUGGACGCCAGUCUGCAUGGAGCCGGCCUUGAAAUACCACCCUUUAAUGUUUGAUGUUCUAACGUUGACCCGUGAUCCGGGUUGCGGACAGUGUCUGGUGGGUAGUUUGACUGGGGCGGUCUCCUCCUAAAGAGUAACGGAGGAGCACGAAGGUUGGCUAAUCCUGGUCGGACAUCAGGAGGUUAGUGCAAUGGCAUAAGCCAGCUUGACUGCGAGCGUGACGGCGCGAGCAGGUGCGAAAGCAGGUCAUAGUGAUCCGGUGGUUCUGAAUGGAAGGGCCAUCGCUCAACGGAUAAAAGGUACUCCGGGGAUAACAGGCUGAUACCGCCCAAGAGUUCAUAUCGACGGCGGUGUUUGGCACCUCGAUGUCGGCUCAUCACAUCCUGGGGCUGAAGUAGGUCCCAAGGGUAUGGCUGUUCGCCAUUUAAAGUGGUACGCGAGCUGGGUUUAGAACGUCGUGAGACAGUUCGGUCCCUAUCUGCCGUGGGCGCUGGAGAACUGAGGGGGGCUGCUCCUAGUACG